rnacentral:lncRNA from 1 species
CUCCUACCACUCCAGUUAAGCAAGGUUGCCUCCAUUCCCUGCAACGUGUCAUGUAUUCUUGAGUGAUUAUAUACAUCACUCAGUAUGUAAAGCAUAAACAUCAACAAUUGUCUAACAAUAUCAAUUAACAUAACACAUGCAUAUGUAAACAUUCAGUCUAAUAGUAUCAAUCAUUCAUCAUUUAUGAACCUUAAUGGGUCAUCACUCGUCAUUUAUCAUUCACCAUUCAUCA